rnacentral:lncRNA from 1 species
GCAAAUAGGUCAUUUAACCGUAAAAAUAUAUCGUUGAACUAAAAAAAUUAUUCUUAGUAAAGUUACAAAUACAAAUUUUUUGUAAUGAUCAUCGAAUUAUAAAAUUCUUUCCGUGCAUUAAAGCAUUGCUCACGCCCGUUAAAUUUAUUUUGCUGCUUCACAAGCUAAACUUUGAGUAUAAGCUAAUUAGCUUUGUCAUGAUCUGCAUCUGUAGUUUCCACUUUUUAGAUAAGAAGCCGCUGCAAACAUCACUAGUUAAAACCGUCAAAAUAUUUGUUAUGAG